UACGGAGGGUGCAAGCGUUAUCCGGAUUCACUGGGUUUAAAGGGUGCGUAGGUGGGCUGGUAAGUCAGUGGUGAAAUCUCCAGGCUUAACUUGGAAACUGCCAUUGAUACUAUCAGUCUUGAAUACCGUGGAGGUCAGCGGAAUAUGUCAUGUAGCGGUGAAAUGCUUAGAUAUGACAUAGAACACCAAUUGCGAAGGCAGCUGGCUACACAAAUAUUGACACUCAGGCACGAAAGCGUGGGGAUCAAACAGG
rnacentral:rRNA from 1 species